GAUGAACGCUGGCGGCGUGCCUAAUACAUGCAAGUCGAACGAGUUCUCGUUGAUGAUCGGUGCUUGCACCGAGAUUCAACAUGGAACGAGUGGCGGACGGGUGAGUAACACGUGGGUAACCUGCCCUUAAGUGGGGGAUAACAUUUGGAAACAGAUGCUAAUACCGCAUAGAUCCAAGAACCGCAUGGUUCUUGGCUGAAAGAUGGCGUAAGCUAUCGCUUUUGGAUGGACCCGCGGCGUAUUAGCUAGUUGGUGAGGUAAUGGCUCACCAAGGCGAUGAUACGUAGCCGAACUGAGAGGUUGAUCGGCCACAUUGGGACUGAGACACGGCCCAAACUCCUACGGGAGGCAGCAGUAGGGAAUCUUCCACAAUGGACGCAAGUCUGAUGGAGCAACGCCGCGUGAGUGAAGAAGGCUUUCGGGUCGUAAAACUCUGUUGUUGGAGAAGAAUGGUCGGCAGAGUAACUGUUGUCGGCGUGACGGUAUCCAACCAGAAAGCCACGGCUAACUACGUGCCAGCAGCCGCGGUAAUACGUAGGUGGCAAGCGUUAUCCGGAUUUAUUGGGCGUAAAGCGAGCGCAGGCGGUUUUUUAAGUCUGAUGUGAAAGCCCUCGGCUUAACCGAGGAAGCGCAUCGGAAACUGGGAAACUUGAGUGCAGAAGAGGACAGUGGAACUCCAUGUGUAGCGGUGAAAUGCGUAGAUAUAUGGAAGAACACCAGUGGCGAAGGCGGCUGUCUGGUCUGUAACUGACGCUGAGGCUCGAAAGCAUGGGUAGCGAACAGGAUUAGAUACCCUGGUAGUCCAUGCCGUAAACGAUGAAUGCUAGGUGUUGGAGGGUUUCCGCCCUUCAGUGCCGCAGCUAACGCAUUAAGCAUUCCGCCUGGGGAGUACGACCGCAAGGUUGAAACUCAAAGGAAUUGACGGGGGCCCGCACAAGCGGUGGAGCAUGUGGUUUAAUUCGAAGCAACGCGAAGAACCUUACCAGGUCUUGACAUCUUUUGAUCACCUGAGAGAUCAGGUUUCCCCUUCGGGGGCAAAAUGACAGGUGGUGCAUGGUUGUCCUCAGCUCGUGUCGUGAGAUGUUGGGUUAAGUCCCGCAACGAGCGCAACCCUUAUGACUAGUUGCCAGCAUUUAGUUGGGCACUCUAGUAAGACUGCCGGUGACAAACCGGAGGAAGGUGGGGAUGACGUCAAAUCAUCAUGCCCCUUAUGACCUGGGCUACACACGUGCUACAAUGGAUGGUACAACGAGUUGCGAGACCGCGAGGUCAAGCUAAUCUCUUAAAGCCAUUCUCAGUUCGGACUGUAGGCUGCAACUCGCCUACACGAAGUCGGAAUCGCUAGUAAUCGCGGAUCAGCACGCCGCGGUGAAUACGUUCCCGGGCCUUGUACACACCGCCCGUCACACCAUGAGAGUUUGUAACACCCGAAGCCGGUGGCGUAACCCUUUUAGGGAGCGAGCCGUCUAAGGUGGGACAAAUGAUUAGGGUG
rnacentral:rRNA from 2 species